GGUUACAUUGGAGACAAGAGUGAAGAUGCUUUAAAACUUCAAAACUUGUUCCUUUGAUGGGACAAUCUCACCAGUGCAAGACAACUGCUUGGCUCAUUUGUGGGAAGGCAAACAUAUUUGCAGAUGUAGAAAUUGGUCCACAUGAAGACAGUGGAUUCAGUUUUACAUCAAAGAUGAAGCUCAGCCAUGGCUGAACAGACUUAAUGAAAUCUCUCCAGCUUUGUCUGUAACCCUUUUGUCAUUUGCAAAGAGGAAAGAGCACAACAUACAAUCAUAGACUACCUUGAGUUCAAAGGGACCCAUGAGAAUCAUAGGGUCCAACUCUCUGCCCCUCUCCAGACUACCUAAAACUAAAUGAUGUGACUAAGAGCAUCAUCCAAACAUAUAACUAUUCCAGGCUUUAAAGAAGCAUUAAUGAACAAUUUUUAUUUUGCCAUGAAUUUUAAAGGGUGAAAUAAUUGCACUGCUUGUGGAACAUCAUCUUUCUUCUGAGGCCCUUUUCUGACUGGAUUUACAGGUAUGGGUAUCUGUGCAGGAGGCCUCAUUUCUUAGAGUUUCAACGUGAUUUUUUUUUCUUUUGGCUAGUAGACAUACUUCUGUUAGUUGGAAGUGCUGAU